UCCGAGUUGUCCCCGGCAGUCUCCCACGAGUCCCCGGCAUUAUCCGCUGGCAACAUAGGAUAAGGGUUGCGCUCGUUGCGGGACUUAACCCAACAUCUCACGACACGAGCUGACGACAGCCAUGCACCACCUGCACACCGGCCACAAGGGAAACCCCAUCUCUGAGGCGAUCCGGCGCAUGUCAAGCCCAGGUAAGGUUCUUCGCGUUGCAUCGAAUUAAACCACAUGCUCCACCGCUUGUGCAGGCCCCCGUCAAUUUCUUUGAGUUUUAACCUUGCGGCCGUACUCCCCAGGCGGAUGACUUAAUGCGUUAGCUGCGCCACCGAAAGCCUAAGGCCCCCGACAGCUAGUCAUCAUCGUUUACGGCGUGGACUAC
rnacentral:misc_RNA from 1 species